AGUGAACGCUGGCGGUAGGCCUAACACAUGCAAGUCGAACGGCAGCACAGUAAGAGCUUGCUCUUACGGGUGGCGAGUGGCGGACGGGUGAGGAAUACAUCGGAAUCUACUUUUUCGUGGGGGAUAACGUAGGGAAACUUACGCUAAUACCGCAUACGACCUACGGGUGAAAGCAGGGGAUCUUCGGACCUUGCGCGAUUGAAUGAGCCGAUGUCGGAUUAGCUAGUUGGCGGGGUAAAGGCCCACCAAGGCGACGAUCCGUAGCUGGUCUGAGAGGAUGAUAAGCCAAACUGGAACGGAGACACGGUCCAAACUCCUAGGGGAGGCAGAAGGGGGGAAAAUUGGACAAGGGGGGCAAGCCUGAUCCAGCCAUACCGGGGGGGGGAAGAAGGCCUUGGGGUUGUAAAGCCCUUUUGGGGGGAAAAAAAAGCAGCAGGUUAAUACCCCGCUGUUCUGACGGUACACAAAGAAUAAGCACCGGAUAACUUCGU
rnacentral:rRNA from 1 species